AGGGAUCAUUAUAGAGUUUUCUAAACUCCCAAACCCAUGUGAACUUACCAAGUUGCCUCGGCAGAACCUACCCUGUAGUUACCCUGUAGCAGGUUACCCUGUAGCAGACCUACCCUGUAGUGACUGCCGGUGGACUUUCAAACUCUUGUUAUUUUUAAUGAAUCUGAGCGUCUUAUUUUAAUAAGUCAAAACUUUCAACAACGGAUCUCUUGGUUCUGGCAUCGAUGAAGAACGCAGCGAAAUGCGAUAAGUAAUGUGAAUUGCAGAAUUCAGUGAAUCAUCGAAUCUUUGAACGCACAUUGCGCCUAUUAGUAUUCUAGUAGGCAUGCCUAUUCGAGCGUCAUUUCAACCCUUACGCCUAGCGUAGUGUUGGGAGAAUACCCCUGGGUAUCUCCCCAAAGUCAUUGGCAGAGUUAGUAUACCUCUGAGCGCAGUAAUUUUCACCUCGCUUCUGUAGUUGUACUGGGUCUCGCCAAAACCCCCAAAUUUUUCUAUGGUUGACCUCGGAUUAGGUAGGAAUACCCGCUGAACUUAAGCAUAUCAAUAAGCGGAGGAAAAGAAACCAACAGGGAUUGCCCUAGUAACGGCGAGUGAAGCGGCAACAGCUCAAAUUUGAAAUCUGGCCUAGCCCGAGUUGUAAUUUGUAGAGGAUGCUUUUGGUGCGGUUCCUUCCGAGUUCCCUGGAACGGGACGCCUUAGAGGGUGAGAGCCCCGUACGGUCGGUUGCCAAUCCUUUGUAAAGCUCCUUCGACGAGUCGAGUAGUUUGGGAAUGCUGCUCUAAAUGGGAGGUAAAUUUCUUCUAAAGCUAAAUACCGGCCAGAGACCGAUAGCGCACAAGUAGAGUGAUCGAAAGAUGAAAAGCACUUUGAAAAGAGGGUUAAAUAGCACGUGAAAUUGUUGAAAGGGAAGCGCUUAUGACCAGACUUUUGCCUUGCGGAUCAUCCGGUGUUCUCACCGGUGCACUUCGCUUGGUCGAGGCCAGCAUCGAUUUUGGCGGGGGGAUAAAGUCUUUGGGAAUGUGGCUCCUCGGAGUGUUAUAGCCCAUGGUAAUACCCCCCGCCGGGGAUCGAGGU
rnacentral:rRNA from 1 species